rnacentral:rRNA from 1 species
AUGACAUGUGAAGACACUCACUUGAAGACUAUGGAGUGCGAAGACAUAGUUUCUUUCGUAGUUUUCUUUUCUUCUUUAUUGAGUCAUAGGAACCACCGAACUGUUAAGUGGGGUCCAAGUGAACAAAGUCAGAAGACUGACGUGAUGCUCAACCCAAAUCCUAUGUCUUCGAGUGAAGACAAUGAGAGCCAAUCUUAUCCAGAGUUGGAUGAGUCAACUUUGCUUGUUGCCCAAGCCAAGUUGUCGUGCGUGUUUGAAAUCCGACCGUUGGACACGUGUCGGUUCCUUAGUGACCCAGGGUCAUUUCGGACAUAUCAUGUCGGGUUGCCUCCUGGCUAUAAAUAG